rnacentral:lncRNA from 1 species
GUGCGCGCUCCUCGCUUUCGCGGCUGGGCGCCUCGCGCCUGUCCCGCCCGACUCGUGCCUCUUCUGAGCCGCAGCCCCAGCCCCAGCCCCAAUCUCAAUCUCUCCGGCCGGCAGAGGUUGGAAGACAGGAAGCCGAUUAGAAAGGAAGGUGAAGGAAACAAGAGUCAGACAGCGGAAAGUGGGAGCAAAGGGAGAAGAAAAUGAAGCUUCCUACUUCACGACAAAAAAAACGACUUUCAGAAGUACCAAUCUGCAACAGCUUGAAAAUUUGAAAACCUGAUCCUUCACCACAGGUGCUUUUGCUUGCAAGGUCAAAAUCAGAAGUUCAGGAAGAUCACCUGAAUCCAGAGCUUUUGAUUUCAGAAGCCUAGGUUCAUUGAGGAAAAGUAUGCUGACUUGUCCCAGAGGGUUAACAAGUGAAUGCUUUUGAGUAGAGGUGGGAGAAGCUGUCUGACAUAGAAGUUGAGCUUCUCCGGGACAAGAGAGGAGACGGGAGUAAUGGUAGAUUCCAUGAGCAUCAAGGACUACUUUUGCUGCCUUUUAGUGUGCUAAAGAAGAUACAAGAUCUCAAGAGAGAAUGGAGACAUGGUACACUUAAGAAAGUCUGAAUACUAGUCCGUGAGGAUGCCAGCUUCAGCCAAAACACCCUGCUAUCACCACCAAUGUGCAAGAGUGGCACAGAAGCAGCUACCCCGUCUAACUUUAAGGGGAUUUGCCUGACAAACAUAUCAACAAUGUUGGGUAUGCACAAAAGGGCAUAGGACCUACACUGAAAGUUGUGUUCUGGGUAUCAUUUGCUAGGGUCUUCAUACAACCUUGACAGAAGGAGGUAAAAACCAUGAGGGAGAUUGAAUUUUUAGCCAGCUGGAAAGGUGAAAGGCUCAGAGCAGAUUGAAUUUUGUUGUAGGGAUAUAAAGAAAUGUGACAUUUUUUGCCAGUUGUUAGAAUGGCGAUCAUUAAAAAGUCAGGAAACAACAGAUGCUGGAGAGGAUGUGGAGAAAUAGGGACGCUUUUAUG